rnacentral:rRNA from 1 species
CCUACGGGUGGCAGCAGUAGGGAAUCUUGGGCAAUGGGCGCAAGCCUGACCCAGCAACGCCGCGUGAGUGAAGAAGGCUUUCGGGUUGUAAACCUCUUUUGUCAGAGAAGAAGCAAGUGACGGUACCUGGCGAAUAAGCCACGGCUAACUACGUGCAAUCAGCCGCGGUAAUACGUAGGUGGCAAGCGUUAUCCGGAUUUACUGGGUGUAAAGGGCGGGUAGGCGGGGAAGCAAGUCAGAUGUGAAAACCACGGGCUCAACCUGUGGCCUGCAUUUGAAACUGUUUUUCUUGAGUGCUGGAGAGGCAAGUGGAACUCCGUGUGUAGCGGUGAAAUGCGUAGAUAUACGGAGGAACACCAGUGGCGAAGGCGGAUUGCUGGACAGUAACUGACGCUGAGGCGCGAAAGCGUGGGGAGCAAACAGGAUUAGAUACCCGAGUAGUC